AUGUCAUUCAUGUGUUCCUGUUUUAUGAAACCUGAGAUAUGCUACAAUAGCACCAUCACAGUGUUUACCUGGAAUCAUCUGCACUUGGCCUCAAACUACUUAGUUCUUUGUUUCCUGAUCAUAACCUGGGUAGAGAUGAAAGUUUCUGCAUUUGGGGAGAGAAAUUUCACAGAUAACCCAGAUGUAACCCAGCCGGACAGCAAAGAGUUGAUGGUGCCAUACCUAAUUGACAGUGGAGGGGUAACCUCAAGUUACGUGCCUUUUGACGAAAGUUCUGUAUUAGCUGUUUGCUUAGAAGGAGCAGAUGUUUUGGCUCUGGUGGUCACUGCUCACCUCUGUCUGGGAGGUGCAUCAAUCACUUUAAUUAUAAUAGAACAUGAGGCCAGGAACUGAAGGAGAAAAAUCAACCCAAUCCCAAGAACAAUCUUUCUUGAUGAAUUCUCCCCUAAAUCGAAACAAUUCACUGGGUAUCCCAGCUGGGGUUCAUAUGCUUUUGAUUACUGUGGGCUAUUUAGCUCUACAAAAUGACAGGCUGCUUAAUGGACUUUUAAUGGUUAUAGGUUUCUCUCUCUCUUUUUUUAAUGAGCUUCACCAGUUUGUUACUAAUGCCCUGUAGAAAUUUGGCGAGGGGCCAGACUUGAUGUCACACAUUUCUGGUUUCCAGGCGGCAUACAUGCAACCAUCCUUGCCAGUGCGAAAGUAUGUUGCCAAUCGCUGGGUAAUGCUGUUAGGGCAGGCAGAGUGGGAAAGCUAAUUGAGUGCCCUGUAGUACUAAUAAUGAUGUCAUUUUAGAGAAGGUGGCUGCACUUCACAUCUGAAGUUACCUUGAAGGUUUCUUUCUUCAAAGACCUUGGGAAUCCCAGGGGAGGAAGGGUUUGUGAUAUGGAAGGCGUCUUUGCCUCCAAUUUCCAUACUUUUGAUAAAAGGUCUCCUUCAGACUCACUUGUAUCCUGUCCAUCAAAGAGUCUGUGAGCCGGUCAAACCUACAGCCAGGUUUCAUCCAGUCGUGUUUAUACUUACAGUGCCAGGUGCCAGAUUGCACCCAUGGUAGGUAUCCAGUUUGUGUCUACUGAAGGAGAAGCCAUAAGAUACAGGGGAAGUCAGGGAGAGGAGUUUUAUUGAAGGAACUCACUCUCUGAAUCUCCAGCAAGAAGCAUAAAAUCUGGGUUAAGAGAAGAAUGGUAUGAGUGAUGAGGAAUGAGGGAGACAAAAGGUGUCCUGAGUCACCAAUAAAAAUAACAGCAACUCCCAGUGCUCCUGCUGUACCAAAUAUUGUGCUAAACACUUUGCAUGCAUCACCUCACUUAAUCCUUAGAAUGAAGCAGAGGGGUAGCACUGGCAUGCUGGUUAUGUGUAACAGCCAGCUCUGGAGGGGUGGCAGGGGAGAUGCAUAGACUUUUUAGUGUUUAUUGAUUCCUGUGAUAAAUACUCCCAACCUUCCCUAUUUCAUACUACCAAUGUGAUGCCAGCCACCUGGCAAAAUUCUAGAAAACAACUGGCUUUUGAGAGCUGCUGUGAGUAUAAUAUCAUGAGUAAGUCUAAUCAUCCCAUUUUACAGGUGCAGCAGAAGAGGAUUAAGGAAGAAAAGAACAAGUCAAAGUCAGAGAGGAAGUAAAGGACAGAAUACAGGUCCACAGUGACUACUGGUUUACUAACCUUGUUUCCCAUGCUAUUGGAGUAGCCAAAAAACUAGGAACUGAGCAACAUGGACUGUACUUAUACUCACUCUGAUGGUCUGGGGUUUCCCCUAUAGGUUAUAUAUGAUUGAUGCAUACAUUUAGUUUUUUGAGACAGGGUCUCACUAUGUAGUCCAGGCUGGCCUUAAACUCACAACCAUCUUCCUCUUGCCUCAGCCUCCCCAGUUCUGGGAUUACAGGAGUGUGCCACGAUGCCUGGCUUAUUAUGUAUAUUUAUAGAGAAGCAAAAGUUCAUUGGAGGUGAUCUGGUUCCUGAGCCAUCUCCUUCUUGUUCAACUGCAACCAUUACACUCAUUCUGUGGAAGUUUUACUUUUUCAUUUGUGCUGAUACUCUGGGCUCUAUUCCUGUUGUGAGGCAUUUAUUGCAGUGCCACUUCUUCAGUGUAUAGGCAAACAAACUGGGAGCUAGAGAUAUUAAACAAUUUACCCAAAUCUACACCUAGUUGUCAGGGACAGAACUGCAAAUAAAAUGAAGAUUCUGUUUCUAAGGCUCUUCUCUGUAAACUACAGUGUUUUCUACCUCUAAAGAAUAACAAACAGGUCUUGGCGUUUUAAAAAAAUAAAUGGAGGUGGAUUUUCUUGUCCUGGUCCAGAUACUCUUACUCACUGUCUGCUCCUAUUUUGAAAGAUUCAACUUGACUUCCCUUGAUUGAGGGUCAAUGAGCCGAGAAUUCAAGGACAGGCACCAGGAGUGCGUUAUGUAGCAAAUGAUGAAAACAUGAAAGACAUUCUUUGCAGGCUUUAGAAGACAGGGAGGAGGGAGUAGCAAAGGUGGGGGUUCUUUGCUGAAAUACCCUCAUGUUUCUGAGUCCCAAGAUACUACUAAAUCAGACCCAGGUCAUAUGGUGCCUAUGCUUGUCUCUUGGCCCAGGGUGAAAACAGUUCACAAUGUAAAAUUAACUUUCCACAUUUGGCUGGCCUAUGCGGGCCAGCUUUCUUUCAAAGUGAGUUUGCGAAUGAAUGAAUGAAUGUGUUGACUGGGUUACUGUUCUUAG
rnacentral:lncRNA from 1 species